CCCCGGAAGUCGGGGAGGCAAGGGCGCUGUCGGUGCAGUCGGGUUACCAGGGGCAACCGGACCAGGAGGGGACCCUGGUCUUACGGGUAAUGCUGGGUCUGAUGGGGUACAUGGCAAGGAUGGACUUAUAGGAGCCAGGGGAGAUAGAGGGAAUCCUGGUCCUGAAGGUCUUGCUGGAACUCCGGGGCUUCAUGGCUCUGUUGGGCCAGUUGGCACCUCUGGUGUCCCUGGGAAGAG